AAUCGGCUGCGGGCCCCUCUGGCGGAUGCGCAUCUAUGCCUUCCGUGAUGUCGGAGCCGAUGC
rfam:Methylobacterium sp. Leaf93 contig_7, whole genome shotgun sequence.